UACGAAGGGUGCAAGCGUUAGUCGGAAUUACUGGGCGUAAAGCGUGCGUAGGCGGUUUCCUAAGUCGGAUGUGAAAGCCCUGGGCUCAACCUGGGAAUGGCACUCGAUACUGGGAAGCUGAAGUGCGGUAGAGGAGGGUGGAAUUCCCGGUGUAGCGGUGAAAUGCGUAGAGAUCGGGAGGAACAUCAGUGGCGAAGGCGACCCUCUGGACCAGCACUGACGCUGAGGCACGAAAGCGUGGGGAGCAAACAGG
rnacentral:rRNA from 1 species